GUUUUCUAAUUAUUUUGUCUUUAUCAAAAAGUAAUUUAAGGACCUCCUACUCACAAUUGCAUCUUUUCUAUCUAACAGAUGUGAAUCACGUAGAAGUCAGUCAUAAUUUAUUUGCUUAAAAGAAAUGAGUGAAAACCUACUUAAAAGUGUAAAAGCUCAUAACUAUAACCACAUUGAAGCCUAAAAGAUGUAUCACAUAUUUGUGAUUUGUUGUCAGAAAUUUAGGGUGUCAGCAAUAGAACAUAUUUAGUACCUAUGAGCUACACGGUAGUACAAAGAAAAAAA
rnacentral:lncRNA from 1 species